rnacentral:rRNA from 1 species
AUGGACCAUUCCAUCCCUUUUUCCCGUGCAUUUGCAUCGGACUCGGAUGACGAUGGUCCCGAUGAACAAGUUGAUGCGGAGGGGUUCACGGUGAAGGAGGACGAAGCUUUCGAGAAGGUAUUUGGUCGGGAUCAUCGGACUACAUUGUUCAAGGAUGUUAGUCUCGCGGAUGAAGCCGUGGUAGAUGGUGGCCAAUGUGUACCUCUUGGGGUUAGGCCAAGCUCUCACCGUGAUUUGGGAGACGACAAGAACCGGGUUGCUAAAGGUUCUAAGUUCGACACCUUGUUGGAAUUGAAGAUGUGGCUCGACAACUACUCGGUUAUGCAUUAUCGUCCACACAAGGUGGUGAACUCGGACGUCAAUGUGCGCUACACGGUUGCAUGUGCAUGUGAAGAUGAAAUAUGUCCGUGGAUUAUGCGUGCAAGACCAUGGAAAGGAGGUCCAACUUGGCAUGUAGUGAGUUGUGUGCCAACUCACAUGUGCCAAGGCAAAAAGGUGGAUGGAAAGGUUAUGUCCCAAGACCACAAACAACUCACGCCCGAAUUCAUCCCUUACAGGCUCUCCAACUCAAUAUCCACACUUCCAACAAUGAGCGUCCAACAUGUCAUUGACCUUGUGAAGCCAUCUUUCAUUACAAGGUGA